UAUAGCCUAAGAAAAUGAUUUAUCUCAGCAAAUUCAUAAUUAUCUCAGCUCCAAAUAUCAUCAUCUUCCUCAUUUGAAGCUUAUAGGUAACAAAUUUUCAAUUAGCCAUAACUCCUUCGUUUUAAGUCCGAUUGAUGCGAUUUUUGUGGCCAUGGAACGAGCAUGAGAUUCUCUACUCAUCAAGCCCAGAAAAUCAAGACAAACCGAGAGGCGAAGGGAUCGACGGUUUUGGCCUAGGAGUAUUCGGCCAAGACUAAUGCGUAUAAACAAUUUGGAUUGGAAAGCAAGGAGUACCUAGACUUGGAGUGACUAGAAGUUCAUCAUUUUUCCGGGAGUCUGUCUUACCAUGUACAGACCGGCUUCCGUGACCGCUGCAGUAGUACAUUGUGUGACCAGUCAUGACCUAGGACAAUAUUAUAGUUUUGGAAAAUGUUUAUAACGAUGUUAGAUUUACGUAGCCAGUGUUUACAAAAUAACUAUUAAUGUUUUCAUAAUUAAAUGCUUCCGUGUUAUAACAUAA